rnacentral:tRNA from 1 species
GGAGAGGUGGCCGAGUGGUUGAAGGCGCUAGUCUCGAAAACUAGUAUAGUCGUAAGGCUAUCGUGAGUUCGAAUCUCACCCUCUCCGCCA